GUGUGCGUGGGAAGGGCCAUUGCAUACCUCAUCGUUUUUACGGCGGGGUGGUUGCCAUGGUAGGAAAAGUCUUCCCGUGCCGCACGGGGCGUGGAUGC
rnacentral:tRNA from 1 species